CUUGACUUUUCACUCACUCCCUGACGCUCCCGCUAGUGAGAUGAGGCAUUGGGACCCGGCAGUGCUCAUCUAGCCUAAAGGGACCGAAUAGCUGCCGAGUGGGUGAGAUAGGUGGGGGAAGGCUGCGGGGUCACCUCGGGGGCUCUGUCCAGCGAGGCGGGUGUCUGCAGCCUUGCGUGUCCCCCCGCUCCCCCAGUCGGGAAUGAAACCCUCGGAGUGGCUGGCGGCUGUGCGCUCUGGGAACAAGUGCAGAUCCUGGAGGGCCAAGAAGAAACCAGCUACCCUGCACGACCCUGAAAUCGCUGGCGUCUUGGGCUGUGAAUGAAUGGUCAGAUCAUGCAUGGUCCAGGGAUGCUUUUCCAGACUCUGUGAGGAUCGCAGACCUCACCCUUUUGCAGGGUACCGCUUUUCUACACCCUUCCACCUCCGCAGUCAGGGCCCCGCACUUGUGCAGACCGCUCUAAAAGAGACUUGGACUCACCAGAGCUCAGGGGAGAAAUCCUGAGGUUGGUCUCUCCAUCCCGGGGCACCCCUGGAGCAGCAGGGAGCUCCAGGUCUCCACGCGGCAAGCUCCAAGGCCCCGGAGGAGCGGGAACGGGGAUUCCCUUCGCGCAGGCUCGAGGGUGCAGCUCUCCAGCACAAAGGCCACACCCUCACAGCCCUGGCUGAGCUGGGGGUUUCUCCGGAUUAUCUGGAUACCU